rnacentral:rRNA from 1 species
UGGGGAAUUUUGCACAAUGGGGGAAACCCUGAUGCAGCGACGCCGCGUGAUUUAGAAGGCCUUCGGGUUGUAAAAAUCUUUUCUAUGGGAAGAAAAUGACAGUACCAUAGGAAUAAGGACCGGCUAAUUACGUGCCAGCAGCCGCGGUAAUACGUAAGGUCCGAGCGUUGUCCGGAAUCAUUGGGCGUAAAGGGUACGUAGGCGGGUAAGCAAGUUAGAAGUGAAAUCCUGUAGCUAAACUACAGUAAGCUUUUAAAACUGCUCAUCUUGAGAUAUGGAAGGGAAAGUGGAAUUCCUAGUGUAGCGGUGAAAUGCGCAGAUAUUAGGAGGAAUACCGGUGGCGAAGGCGACUCUCUGGUCUGUAACUGACGCUGAGGCUCGAAAGCGUGGGUAGCAAACAGG